GGGACCUAAGAGAGGCCAUUUCUCUCACCUCAGCUCCCUUCCCUUGGACUUCCAAAAGGAAUAAUUUUACUCUCUCCUCCGUUCUCCCCACAACUCUCAUCCCCGCUAGCCCGCAGGCCGCCUGCCCCUUUCCGCACCUCCUUUUCCCAUCCAGCGAGAGAAACCUAGCUCCCAGAGCCGGUGCAGUCAGUCCCCUCGCCCCUCCCGCCCCUGCACGGGUCCCCCUCUAGCCGUCGCUGCAACCACCACCUCGGUUCCACUCAACCGAUUUUUGCUGCAUGUCAACACUUAUUACCGGAAUCUUCAAAUGAUAAUUUUGAAAAGAGAAGCAGUCCUUUUCAUGAUGAAGAGAUGAGUUGUCAAAAGCCCAGGUUCUCCAGGGCAGAAGAUUUCAGUCUCUGGUAACACAGACUCAGAGAGAAGCACGGAUGAGAGUUGGAGGGAGAGAGAGUCCUGCUGUCUCUCCUGUCUGUUACUAUGAUCCUGGAGGUCCAGUUAAAUGCCCUUCCUGAGAUUUUGCUACUCUGGUCAGCAUAUUUCCUGUUUUGCCUAAAGUGGUUCAAAUUGGGUUUCUGUCACUUGGAAAAGACUUCCUGAUUCAGUAGACUAGUGUUCCCUCCCUCCCCCAUAAAUAAUCUCUCCCCCAGAGAGCAAAUAAAGUGCCUUUGAAGUCAGGAUUUGGGAUAGUCUUUUGGAAUCCUCAGAUGUUCAUGUGUAAGUAGAAAAAUUUCAUCUUCUAGUGGCCCUCUACAAACACUGCCUGGGAAUUAUUGAGGGGGUGAGGAAGGAGAGUUGUGUAUACACACCCACACCUGUUAAGCUUUUUCGCCAACACAAUAAUAUUUAUUGGAGAUCUAUUAUGUUUCAGGCACUUUCAUAAACAGCUGCUCUACAUUAGUCCAAGACACUAGAUUUUCACACUGUUCCUAAUUAUAGAUGAGAUGAUAUCUUUAAAAUAAAAGAUGUUAAAUAUUAGUCUUUACAAAAUGUAAACGUUAUGAGUAAAGAUUAGGUGCACCUUUCCAUACCUUCUCCAGGUUUAACCUACCACUAUUUGGAUGUCUCUUUUGCUUUUAUAAGUUUAUCCCCCAAAAAUGUAAUGGAAUUUCAAAUAUAAAUUGCUUGAAUGACUUGUUUCUAAAGACAAUUUUGAGAAAGAUGAUUAAAAAUAAACAAAAAAAUUGAAACAAACUA
rnacentral:lncRNA from 1 species